CCCCUUUUUAUAUGAUCUAGCCACUUGACUCAGACCCAAUCAAAUAAUCCUCCAUCCAAGCUGGCUUCUUUGUGACCCGAGGCUGUCUGCUAUAGUUAGGUGAACCGGGUUCACUUAACAAAUUGUUCUUCCCCAUUCCAGACUUUUCUAGGGAUUUCUCUCUUGCGUUUUCUUCUCCAGCGUCGGCGUGCUCUGCUCCAGCCAAGUCGACGAUCGCAUGAAUGUUCUCCUUCAGCGCGCGGUAGCCCAAUAAGACCGUAUCAUCUCUCCCUUCUUCAAAAUCGACCUUGUCCUCAAGGUUGAUAGCUGGAAAGGAUUUUCGGACAUCCUCUAUUGACUCCCAAGUAGCAUCCUCAGGUAUUGUCCCACUCCAUUGCACCAGAACUUGUUCUAUCUUUUUCUUGCCUCCUUACAUAAUAAACCUGCGAUUUAAUAUAGCCAUAGGAUAAAUAAUGAGUUGAUUUUCCACUGAUAUUAGGGGCUCUUCAAUAACACUGUUUUCAGGAGGAGGACCACAGAAUUUUCUCAAUUUCGACACAUGAAAUGAAGAAUGGAUCUUGCUCUCAGGAGGUAACUCUAGUUGGUAAGCCAUAUCAUUGAUUUUUCUUGACAUUUUAUAGGGCCCAAAAUAUUUUUUCCCAACUUGUUGUGUAGUCCAUGGGCGACAGUAAUCUGCCUAUAUGGUGUUAAUCUUACAAGCACCCAAUCUCCCACAAUGUAAAAAAUAUUUGAUCUUCCUUUGUCUGCUUGAAUUUUCAUUUUAUUUUGUGCAAUUUCCAGAUUUUGCUUGAUUUUCUGUAAUGUUUCUUCUCUUAGAUUUAAAUUGACAUUGACAGCUUCCACUGAUGAAUCUCCUUCAGUGUAGUGUGGAAUUUCAGAUGAUUCCUUCCCAUAGAGAGCUAGAAAUGGUGUCAUACCUAGAGAUGAAUGAUAGCUAGAGUUAUACCACAACUCUGACCAUGGUAAUAAUUUUAGCCAAUUCCUAGGACACUCAUGGCAGUAACAUCUUAAAUACAUUUCCAAUGUCCUAUUUACCACCUCUGUUUGUCCAUCUGACUGUGGAUGAUAAGCAGAUGAGAAAUUUAGUUUAGUACCACUUAGCUUGUGCAACUCUUUCCAGAAUUUGGAUGUGAACACUCUGUCCCUAUCGGAAACGAUAGAAAUAGGUAUGCUGUGUAGUUUAAUAAUAUCUCUCACGAAAAUUUCAGCAACCUUGGAAGCAUUAAAAUUUGGGGGUAAUGCACUGAAAUGUGCAUAUUUUGAUAACCUAUCGACCACAACCAUGAUCACUGAUUUGCCCUCCACCUUGGGUAGAUCUGUUAUGAAGUCCAUUGUAAUAUCCUGCCAUACUUUAGAAGGUAUAGGAAGGGGCAUCAAUAGUCCUGCUGGUUUGGAAUUUAAUGGCUUCAUUUGUUGACAUGUAAUACAAUUCUUGACAUACUCCUUAAUACUAGAUCCCAUAUUCUGCCAAUAGAAGUUUUUAACUAUUCUCUUCUUGGUUUUGUAAACACCGCCAUGACCUCCCAUUAAAGAAUUAUGGCCUGCAAAUAAAAUUUUAGGAAUAAUUGCUGAAUCUUUGUUUACAAAGUACCUAUCCUUCUAAAAUAAUAUUCCAUUUCUGACCAUGUAGCCUUCCAUGCCCUGAACUGCAGAAGAAUGCUUUAGUAGUAGAUUCUGUGUAUGAGGGUGAUUCUGAUUUUCUUCCUUUAAUUCUUCUACUAAUGUUGAAAUAGGACCAGAAAUUGAUAAUAACGACCCCGGGGAGUCCAAGGAAUUACUAGUGGAUAUAAUCUCUUCCUCUAUAUCUUCUUCAAAGGAUCUAGAAAGGGCAUCUGCUACUACAUUCUCUUUACCAGGUUUGUAGGUGAUGCUGAAAUCAAACCCUAGUAAUUUACAAAGAAAAAUCUGUUGUUCAGGUGUUUGAAUUGAUUGGGUUAAUAAAUUUUUUAUGCUUUUGUGAUCAGUUUUGAUCAAAAAAUAAGAGCCUAACAAAUAGUGUCUCCACUUCCCAACUGCAGCAUUAAUAGAAAACAUCUCUUUUACAUAUAUUGAAGCUGAACUCAUUCUCCCAGAUAAUUUCUUGCUGAAAAACGAGAUGGGGUGAUUUUCUUGUGAAAGCACAGCCCCAAUACCACUCUUACAAGCAUCAGUUUCUAUACUGAAUUGCUUAUUAAAAUCAGGAAAUCCAAAAACUGGUGCCGUUACCAUGGCUUGCUUUAGUUUGGAAAAACUUUCAGAAGCAGCCUUUCUCCAUUUAAAACAGUUUUUCUUUAGCAAGUCAGUCAUUGGAGCUGCGAUUUGAGCAUAGCUCUUUAUGAACCUUCUGUAAUAACCUAUGAGGCCUAAAAAUCCUCUCAAUCUUUUAAUGGUUUUAGGUACCUCUCAAUCCACCAUGGCUUGGAUUUUAUCCGAGUCUGGAUGCACACCAUCCUCAGCCACAAUAUGGCCUAAGAAGGUCAUAGAUUCUCUUCCAAAAGAGCACUUUGAAAGCUUGGCCAGUAGCUUGUUUUUUCUGAGAAUUUCAAAUACACAUUGGAGAUGAUUAAUAUGCUCUUCAACUGAUGUACUAUAUACCAGAAUGUCAUAAAAAAAUACUAUUACAAACUUCCUUAAGUGUUCUUUAAAAACAGAAUUCAUUACUGCCUGAAAGGUCGCGGGGGCAUUUGUGAGGCCAAAUGGCAUCACUAAAAAUUCAAAGUGACCCUGAUGGGUUCUAAAUGCUGUUUUUUCUGUAUGAGGAGGGUGAAUUCUGAUCUGGUGGAAUCCCGACCUCAGAUCAAGCUUGGAAUAAACUGCAGAUCCCUUCAACUCCCCUAGCAAUUCAUCCACUGUUGGAAUAGGGUAUUUAUCUUUCACAGUUAAGGCAUUCAGUGCCCUGUAAUCAACACACAAUCUAUAGCUACCAUCUUUCUUUUUAACCAAUAGUACUGGAGAAGAAUAAGGACUGUUGCUGGUUUUUAUAAUUUUCUGUUUUAACAUCUCUGUGACCAGCUUCUCAAUCUCAGUUUUUUGAAACUGAGGGUACCUGUAAGGUCUGACAUUUACCGGCUUAGAAUUGGUCUCCAAAUGAAUAAAAUAGUCAGCUUUUCUUUGAGGUGGUAGUUCUCCCGGAGGUUCAAAAAUAUCACUGAAUUCCUGAAUUUUUUUUGUCAUUUUUGGAUGUGGUGUUUCUAGGACAGCCACUUCACUAUCUUUCUUCUUCUCCAUAUAACAAAGAUACACUUCUUGAGUUGAUGCAAUUAAACAUUUAAGUUGCCCCACAGUUAAAGGAUCAUCAGAAAUCCAAGCUAUUCCUUGCCAGCUAAUUCUGCUUCCCAUCCACAUAAAUUCCAUCAAAAGUUUUUCGAAAUCAAAUGUAAGAGGACCCAAGGUUUUCAUGCCCUGAAUUCCUAUGACCAUAUUAGCCCCGGACAUAUCAAGCAAAAAUAUAUCCAUUUUUAUACAAGUAUCUUGUAUAAUUAUCUCAACUCCCUUGCAUAUCUCAGCACAAGUGAGCUUCUCCCCGCUACCUGUUGAAACAUUAAAUGGUACAAUGAGUCCAAUAGUCAUCUUUAGGGCUCUUGCAACUUCUUUCUGCAUGAAGUUGUGAGUUGAUCCGGUGUCCACUAAUACAGUUACAGAUCUGUUUGAAAUCAGUCCAUUAAGCCUUAUUGUGUUUGAGCUAAUGUGACCCUCAAAAGCAUGUAAUGAAAUUUCAGUUUGAAUUCCUCCCACUAGUGUAGAUGUAUUCUCGUCACUUUCUUCUAUUAUCUCUUGGUCUUCCACUUCUUCUAACAUUGAUCAGCCAAAGUCUAAACAAUUUACCUUGUCUACCUUUACAUACUUGAUUAUGAUUUGGCACAAAUUUUUCCUCACAGUUGAAGCAUAGACCCUUGCUUCUUUUUUCUGCCUUCUCAGCUUGAGACAGCCUUUUAAAUAUAUUUUGUCCUUCAUUUACAGGUUGUUUUACUCCACUUUCAAUUGCUGAAUUGAUCUUUGCAGGUUGCACUGUUAUUGGCGUGUAUUUGGUGUUUAAAGGCUUGUAAGGUAUUGUUUUAUGUCCUCCUUUCUUAGCAUUAAUCAUAUUGGAUACCUCCAUUGCUUCAUGUAUGGUAUAAGGCUUGCUUAGUAUCACAUCAGCUUGUAGGUCUUCCUUUAAUCCAGAAAUAUACAUUUCUAGAAUGAAGUAUUCGGGAAGGCCUAAUACUCGUGUGCACAUUUCUUCAAAUUGGCUUUGGUAAUCCACUAGGCUUCCUUCUUGCUUAAGUUUACUUAGUUUACCCCCGGGAAGUUGAUAGUGUAUAGUAGUAAAUUUUCUGAUCACCGCAUCUACAAAAUUCACCCAGUUAGUUAGCAUGUUACUUGCUUCCAUCCAUGCGAACCACUUUUUUGCCAACCCAUCCAAAUGAAAUGACACAAUCAAUAAUUUCUGAUCCUCAGGGAUUUUAUUAAAAAUAAAAUAUCUCCGCACUGCAAAUAUCCAGUGUUCAGCUUCUGACCCAUCAAACCUUGGCAUAUUUACUUUAACAUGCUUUGCUGGAACAUAGUUGGGAUCAUUUAAUAUACUUAAAGCAUAACAGGGCUUAUCGAGAUUUACCGCAGAUUUGUAAUAUGUUUCUGGUUGAAUUGAUGCCAAUACCUUCCCUUCUAGAGGCUCAGUACUGAUUGCAUCUGGAGGUUUUUCUUUUAGCAUUUCUGCACAUAAAUCUGAAAUCUGUUUGCUCAGUUGCAUAAAGUUGUUGUUUACAUUAAUUCUGAAUUCUCCCAUUUCUUGAAUCUGUGACAUUUGUAGGUUUUGUAAACGUAUAAAAUCUGGAUGGUUUGCCAAAUCGAAGUUCUGGCUAACUGCAGCCAUCCUGUUCCAAAGAGUUCAAAAAAAUAGUUGAAAGCACCAAUGAUACCGACCUAGAUCUACAAAGGGACCCAAUAAAAGAAUUGAGUAACCUGGAGAUCGAGGUUUCUCCGGAUCUGAGUGUCCAUAGAUGGUCAGAUAUCCAAAGCAGAUUGCAACGGGGUCAACCCCUGAAAUUGAGACUUAGCACUGGUCGGAGGAUCGUGGUUAAGCAGUCCGAUCGUGGGCUCAAUGCGGAUUGAUAGAACAGACGAACGAAUCUUCAGAUGGUAGCUCGGAUUCCGAUGAAGAUUUGGGCAGCGUGGGAUGAUUGGUGAUGGGAUGUAUGGAAGCGCAAGAUAGGGUUGUGAAUAGUGAAUUAAAUGGAAAAUUUCAUCAAUCUCUGAAUUCAAAUGUUUUAUAAUUAUUUAUAUCAAAUAGAGUUUGUAAUAAUAAAACUUGAUAGGGACUACUAAUUAAUUUUCCCCUUUUUAUAUGAUCUAGCCACUUGACUCAGACCCAAUCAAAUAAUCCUCCAUCCAAACUGGCUUCUUUGUGACCCGAGGUGGUCUGCUAUAGUUAGGUGAACCGGGUUCACUUAACAAAUUAUUCUUCCCCAUUUCAGACUUUUCUAAGGAUUUCUCUCUUGCGUUUUCUUCUCCAGCGUCGGCGUGCUUUGCUCCAGCCAAGUCGACGAUCGCAUGAAUGUUCUCCUUC
rnacentral:lncRNA from 1 species